rnacentral:misc_RNA from 1 species
UCCGGUUUGUCACCGGCAGUCCCAUUAGAGUGCCCAACUAAAUGUAGCAACUAAUGACAAGGGUUGCGCUCGUUGCGGGACUUAACCCAACAUCUCACGACACGAGCUGACGACAGCCAUGCAGCACCUGUGUUACGGUUCUCUUUCGAGCACAAUCUGAUCUCUCAAAUCUUCCGUACAUGUCAAGGGUAGGUAAGGUUUUUCGCGUUGCAUCGAAUUAAACCACACGCUCCGCUGCUUGUGCGGGCCCCCGCCUAUUCCUUUGAGUUUUAAUCUUGCGACCGUACUCCCCAGGCGGGAUGUUUAAUGCGUUAGCUGCGCCACCAACGAGCAAGCUCGCUGACGGCUAACAUCCAUCGUUUACGGCGUGGACUAC